AUGUCUUUUGCAAAUUUGAGGAUGACGCCGUCGCAUCAGUUGGUCCUGCGGGCCUCUGAUGCGGCGGCAGCCUUCACGCGGGACCCAGGCUCCCGCCAGGGCCAAGAAGCCGGGGGAGGUGGAGAAGGAGGCCCGAGCCCGCGUCGUCUCCGGGGACGGUGACCCUGGGAACCCCAUGCUGGUGCUGGGCUAAGUACCAGGGUCAGACCCUCAGAUGGCUUCUGGAGAACGACGUGGGCUACGCCUAUCACGUGGUCGCCAGUCACCAGCGGGAGCGGGAGACGAGUGCCUUGGACAGCUCGCUCAUGGACAACAAGGACAGCCUCGCCCGCUACUCCUGCGCCCACUCCGCUUUUGCGGAGCACCUCAAGUUCCGCCGGGUGCAGGAGGAGGCCCGGGCUCGUGCCACCCUGCCCGGGCGGGGGCGAGGCGCUUGUUGGCUUCGGGAUGUUCAAGGAGGCCACCCUGAAGGACCUGUACUACUUCAAGGAGAAGGAGCGUCAGACCUACGUCGAGUGGCUACGGCGGAAGACACCGCAGCCUGGGAGCGCCAUGGACGUCUUCAUAAAGUACAUUCUGGGCCGAGACAAGGAGCGGUCGGCGGAGGCGGCUGCUACACCCCCUCCGCCCGCCAGCAGCAGCAGCAGCAGCGGUGGCGGUGGCGGCGGCGGCGGCAGCAGCAGCAGCAGCGGCCCCACCCCUCGGCCCUUGUGCGUGGGCGUCCGAUGGGCCCAGGGGAGCUGCAGGCCCGGAUCAGGAGACUGAUGACCCCACCAGCACUGCCUGCAGUUCCAGCGGUGUCUUCCGUCAGAGACCUGCGCCCCUCGGUUCCGCCGCCCCCCCACCACAGAGGUGACGGACGAGGAGCUGAUCCGGAUGCUCACCGACGUAGAAAUGGGUAACUGGCCCCACACUGGACGUGUCGCAUGGUAACAUUUGCCUGUGUGGGGAGGAGACGCCGUGCGGGGAGGAGACGCCGUGCGCGGAGGCCACCCUGGCACCAGAGCCCAAGAAGAAGAGGAGGAAGACGACGACGACGACGGGCGACGUGGAGCAGCCGGCACCGCCCACUCCUGCUCGGGCUGAGGUACAGACACACGCCCAUUGUACUCACGCCGGACACACGACUCUGCGGAGACGACGGUCAGACUGUGUGUAGCAGCGACUUGGCCUCCUCACGUUGUGUUUGAUUGUGUUGUCUUCAUCCUCCUCACAGACCCGGUUGCCUGAGGGCUGGCGGACAGCCCUCACCGGGGAGGAGCAGGAGUGGAUCGGCCGGGCGCUGUUCAGGCAGAACAGCGGGGGGGUCCCUCAAGCUCACCACGGACCUCAAGCUGUGGUGGGACCCCCCCCAGCCCCGGCUGAACUACUCUCAGCCACCCGCCUCGGCGGCUGCCUUCUUCGCGUGUCGAUUGUUCCUCUGGGCGCCCCUAAACAUGUGGGGUCCCCGGCCGACAUGCUGCCAGAAACAUCUCACCAAGUGUGGUCUGACCCCGGUACUUGCCCAGCUGGAUGCUGUGGCAGCCCAGCACCAGCACGGGGUUCCCACCAGGGUCACCGCUCCCGGAGACGACGUGGGCUCGGGCCUCCUUCUCCACCUCCUCCGGCUUCUUAGCCCUGGCGGGAGCCUGGGGCCCGCAUGACCCCGUGGGGGCGGUGAAGGCCACCGCCGCAUCAGAGGCCCGCAGGACCGACUGCUGCGACUCGGUCAGCCUGAACACUGCUGAAGACAUGUCUAUCUACAAUGACAACGAAUGACACAGCAUUAAACGAGCACUGCACUAAACAAGCAUUAAAGGUUACUGCCUUAAAGUGGCUUUUAUGUUCAUGGAUGCUUACAGGAAUGAUAAGAGAGGGGCUGACAUGAAAGAUGUCACCUGUGAUAUACAUCUGUGUGUGUGUGUGUGUUUGCAAUGUAUAAAGGGUGGAUUUAGUUUAUGAUUAAUGAGGCACCUUACUGGAAUAGCUAAUAAUAUAAUUUUGCUGCAUUGUAAAAUGCACUGACAAUAAAUUCAUUCUUAUUUUAAACGACAUAUUAAUGGCUAUACUACCAUAUCAUACUCUCGUUUUGAAGGCUUUUCACCGCACCAAACGUUUCAAUGGAAAUCACGACGGUCUGUACUUUCAACAUUGAAGUUUUACAUAUUUGUAAUUCGUUCUGGCCUUUAUACCACAGCUACCCUAGGGUCUAUAGCAUAUAACUGGGUUGUCUGAUUACAGUUUAAUACAUUUGGCACAAUUUGAUGACUCUGACGGUUUUGAAUUGCGGGGGGAUAUCAGCUUUGCACCGGGUGCAAACUAGCAACGAUACAGGAGUAGAAAGUCAAUUGCGCUGGGUGUAAGAUGGGGCCCAUUAUGUUUAAACCAAUAACCACAAAACGAUAACUAUCUUGAGGCUGUUCAUGGGAACACACAACCCAGCCUAUAUAAGACCCACAUCAUCGCAGAAGGGGAAGUUGUGCAACUGAGCAAACUUCAUACUCACCCCAACUGAACUAAAAGGUCAAAUACCUUAGGAUGAAAAUGUUAAACAGCCCUGUGAUACUGGGCAUCUUCAAAGAUCCCAUAAUCUUAUAAUUAUUAAUAGAAAGAAAAUAGGAAAGAAAUUAUGAAUAAUGGCUUUGUGAAAUGUUCUCUUGUAUCAUUUAAAUGUUAAGUGAUGUGAUGAAUGGUUUGGAACAAAAGCUAAAUUGAAGUCUACCGUUAUAAAAGCUUUGGUAAAACAGUGAGGAUGGAAGGGUGUUGGAGUCUGUGAUGACGCGGCUAUUGGCGCGUCCUCACGCGUCCGUAUUGAGGCCGCACCGGGGCAUUUAUCUGACGGGCAAGAGUAUUCACCAGUAAUCAAGUUUCUGCAUAUUGUUUCGGGUUUGUUGAAUUAUGCGAUUGUGGGCGGGUUUGCUUAUUGAGUGGUAAAAAGGAGAACUGCUCACCGCCGUUGUCAGCUGUGCGAUCCCUGCGGCUUCUAGGAAGCGCGCGCCCGACUGGGGACAGCAAUAUGGUGCAGGGGCGUGCGCGAGUGACGCCGUUGCGUCUCCGCAAAAUCAAUUAUCUUUGCUUGAACAUAUACUUUGUAAGUAGUGGCGGGUAUGCACGCACGAAUAAUAACUAAGGUGUUGUAGUUUAAUUAAUUGAAGAUACGUUUGUUUUGACCAGUUUGGAAGCAUAUUUAGUUGAUUGAUAUGUAAACACCCCCGCCGAUAUUUGAGGGAUUGGUAUGUACCAAUCUCGGGUCAGCCGAGUGGCGAAGUCACGCCCCUUCCGGUAGAGCUCAUGGGACCUAUGAGAUCGAAAAAUAUGAAUGGGUGUCAAAGGAGAGAAAAUAAUUAUUUUCUGGUCCCAGUCUUUAUAAGCCCUGGAUUACACAUAUUUUGUUUGUGGAUUUAAAUUAUAAUUGUUCAUGCAAAGAAAACUAAAAAUGUUCGUGAAGAAGUUUGAUAAUCCUUUUUACCACUCACAGAGAUAGCACAUAGAGAUGGCACAUAACUAAAACUCUCCACAUGCCCCGACUUAUAGUGGUUUUCACCUCUUUCUAUGCUUUUAUUGCCUUGAAAAAAAGUGGUGAAGUGGAGCAGAGAGAUCACCAUCUCUGUGCCGAUUUCCAAGUGCGGGUGUGGUGACGUAUAUCAUAUGCGUCGAGAGCAGCGAAGAGCUGUAGUUCAUAAAGCGGCCUCACAUAAAACCUAAAAUUAUCAAACUUCUUCACGAACAUUUUUAGUUUUCUUUGCAUGAAAAAUUAUCAUUUAAAUCCACAAACAACAUAUGUGUAAUCCAGGGCAUAUAAAGACUGGGAACAGAAAAUAAUUAUUUUCUCUCCAUUGACACCCAUUCAUAUUUUUCGAUCUCAUAGGUCCCAUGAGCUCUACCGGAAGGGGCGUGACUUCGCCACUCCAUAAGGGAGCCGUGUCAGUCCCGGGAGGGCGAGCUAGAAGGCGGAAGCUAGGCCAUGUGCUCUCUGUAUAUGCUCUGUUAUGUGAGAAGAAAAUGGAAAUAAAAGUAAUUUUUGCUUCACCACUGCCUUUUUGUGCUAACCCUAAGGCCGCUCGACAUUCUACCCCUUGACAGAGUCCAAGCCCAAAGGUUCAGGGUCCAAACACCAUUGCAAGAAGCCCUACCUCCCUAGUUAUUAAUAUGACUCGGGAAAAAUAAUCAGACUAAGUCACUUUAGAGCAGCGGUCCCCAACCUUUUCAGCAUCAAGGACCGGUAUGAUUCUCCGAAAAGUUUCACGGACCGGGGCGGGGGGGUGGUUGGGUUAUGUUGCGCAGAGGUUGCCAAAAAUGCAAACAUGUUAUGUGCAAUCUAACAACUGCAUAUAGACUUAUGGCAUGUAAAAGAGUGACAGUAUUGCGAAGUGAAUAAAAUAAAUAAAUAAAUAAAUAAAUAAUCUUUCUCUGCGGAACGGUACCAAAUGACCCACGGACCGGUACCGGUCCGCGGACCGGGGGUUGGGGACCGCUGCUUAAGAGGACAGUGUUUGCUAAAUGAUUGAACUGAAGGUUAAACCUUGAUGUCUCUGUUGUACUGUCAAUGUGAAGAGAUCUGUUUCAUUCUUUACUGGUGGACCCUUGCUGGUCAGUCUAGUUGUUAGGGUUUGUGUUAUCAGGGCAAUCUGCCAUAAGGGGAUACAGCUGAUACAGCUCAAGUGUUUGCCUCAUUUCAUUGGUUCUCAUGAAACGGCCUUGACUAUCUGCAGAUGUGUCAGCAUUUGAGCAUUUGCGUAACAAAUUAUGGACUGUUUUUAAUCUCUUUUAGGUCAAGAAGGUGCAUUAUGCACAAGAUUGUCUCUUGGGCAUCAUAACAAUUAUUAAUGUG
rnacentral:lncRNA from 1 species